rfam:Xenorhabdus nematophila ATCC 19061 chromosome, complete genome
GACAUUUUAGGAAGCUAGUGCAAACGCAACAGUUUUGUAAAGCAUACCGUAAUAUCUCUCGGCAUUGUUUCACAGGUCUGUUGCGUGUGCUUUUAUUUGAUGAAUUCUAACUGAAUUGGUAGCACAUGAACGCCAUACUAACAAACCGGUUACAACAUAAGCUAGGAUAUACCUUUACAC